GAUGAACGCUAGCGGCAGGCCUAACACAUGCAAGUCGAGGGGCAGCGGGUAAGUAGCUUGCUACUUAUGCCGGCGACCGGCGGACGGGUGCGUAACGCGUAUGUAACCUACCUUUGACAGGGGGAUAACAUCGAGAAAUUGGUACUAAUACCCCAUAACAUCACCGGAGGCAUCUUCGGUGGUUGAAAACUCAGGUGGUCAGAGAUGGACAUGCGUUGUAUUAGCUAGUUGGUGAGGUAACGGCUCACCAAGGCGACGAUCAGUAGCCGGCCUGAGAGGGUGAACGGCCACAUUGGGACUGAGACACGGCCCAA
rnacentral:rRNA from 1 species